GUGGGGAAUAUUGGACAAUGGGCGCAAGCCUGAUCCAGCAAUGCCGCGUGUGUGAAGAAGGCCUGCGGGUUGUAAAGCACUUUGAGUGGGGAAGAAGGGUUAGGGGUGAAUAGCCUCUGGCAUUGACGUUACCCACAGAACAAGCACCGGCUAACUCCGUGCCAGCAGCCGCGGUAAUACGGAGGGUGCGAGCGUUAAUCGGAAUUACUGGGCGUAAAGCGCGCGUAGGUGGUUUGGUCAGUCUGAUGUGAAAGCCCUGGGCUCAACCUGGGAAUGGCAUUGGAAACUGCUAAGCUAGAGUGUGGGAGAGGGGAGUGGAAUUUCCGGUGUAGCAGUGAAAUGCGUAGAGAUCGGAAGGAACACCAGUGGCGAAGGCGGCUCCCUGGACCAACACUGACGCUGAGGUGCGAAAGCGUGGGGAGCAAACAGGAUUAGAUACCCGAGUAGUCC
rnacentral:rRNA from 1 species